rnacentral:rRNA from 1 species
CGUACACUCCUGCGGGAGGCAGCAGUAGGGAAUCUUCCACAAUGGGUGCAAACCUGAUGGAGCAAUGCCGCGUGAGUGAAGAAGGUCUUCGGAUCGUAAAGCUCUGUUGUUAGAGAAGAACACGUGCUAGGUAACUACUAGCGCCUUGACGGUAUCUAACCAGAAAGUCACGGCUAACUACGUGCCAGCAGCCGCGGUAAUACGUAGGUGACAAGCGUUGUCCGGAUUUAUUGGGCGUAAAGGGAGCGCAGGCGGUCUGUUUAGUCUAAUGUGAAAGCCCACGGCUUAACCGUGGAACGGCAUUGGAAACUGACAGACUUGAAUGUAGAAGAGGAAAAUGGAAUUCCAAGUGUAGCGGUGGAAUGCGUAGAUAUUUGGAGGAACACCAGUGGCGAAGGCGAUUUUCUGGUCUAACAUUGACGCUGAGGCUCGAAAGCGUGGGGAGCGAACAGGAUUAGAUACCCUAGUAGUCCCAUG